rfam:Triticum aestivum genome assembly, contig: Triticum_aestivum_CS42_TGACv1_scaffold_146688_2BS
UAGGUACUCCCUCUGACCGGAAAUACUUGUCAUCAAAAUGGAUAAAAAAGGAUGUGUCUAAAAUUAAAAUAUGUCUAGAUACAUCUAUUUUUAUUCAUUUUGAUGACAAGUAUUUCCGGACGGAGGGAGUAGCUA